rnacentral:sRNA from 1 species
GUGUGUCACUCGUACACGCCGGGUCCUCCGCGCCGUCCACGCCACCCGAGGACGGCUCGCUACCUUGUCAGCC